GAUGAACGCUGGCGGCGUGCUUAACACAUGCAAGUCGAACGAGAAGUGGAGACGGAAACCUUCGGGCGGAAGACUUUACUUCGAGUGGCGGACGGGGGAGUAACGCGUGGGUAGCCUGCCUCAUACAGGGGGAUAACAGUUGGAAACGACAGGUAAUACCGCAUAAGACCACAGCACCGCAUGGUGCGGGGGUAAAGACUCCGGUGGUAUGAGAUGGACCCGCGUUCGAUUAGCCAGUUGGCGGGGUAACGGCCCACCAAAGCGACGAUCGAUAGCCGAUCUGAGAGGAGGACCGGACACAGUGGGAGUGACACACGGCCCAACCUCCGACGGGAGGCAGCAGUGGGGUAUAGUGCACAAGGGGGGAAUCCCUGAGGCAGCGACGCCGCGUGAGUGAAGAAGUAUUGCGGUAUGUAACGCUCUAUCAGCAGGGAAGAAUAUGACUGUCCCAGAGUAAGAAGCCCCGUCUAUCUACG
rnacentral:rRNA from 1 species